rnacentral:snRNA from 1 species
CUCUUUUCAUUAUUCUCAAAGGCUGAAUUGGAAAAGAAUAAAAAAAAAUAUAUAAUUUCUUAUCAGUUUAAUAUCGGAUACGUCCCCUAUCUGGGGACCAUAUAUUAAAUGGAUUUUUGGAACAGGGAGAUGGAAGAAGAGCUUGCUCUGUCCACUCCACGCAUCAACCUGGUAUUGCAGUACCUCCAGGACCGGUGCACUUCUC